AGGGAAGCAAGACCGCGAGGUGGAGCAAAUCCCUAAAAGCCAUCCCAGUUCGGAUUGCAGGCUGCAACCCGCCUGUAUGAAGUUGGAAUCGCUAGUAAUCGCGGAUCAGCAUGCCGCGGUGAAUACGUUCCCGGGCCUUGUACACACCGCCCGUCACACCAUGAGAGUCGGGAACACCCGAAGUCCGUAGCCUAACCGCAAGGGGGGCGCGGCCGAAGGUGGGUUCGAUAAUUGGGGUGAAGUCGUAACAAGGUACC
rnacentral:rRNA from 1 species